CAACACAUAGCAGCUAAAGGCCCAAAGCUCCCAUAACUCGCUCAGUCAAGAGCUCAAGACUCCCGCACACUCCAAAGGUCAAACCUAACCCUAGCACUCGGCGCGGUGGCGGCGGCGGCGUUUGGCGAGCGUGGCGGAGGUCGCGGAGCUGCGGGUUGUGGCAUAGCGUCCCAGCAUUUGGAGACACAAGCGCAGCGCCGGCGAGCAAAGCGAGAUGCAUUCGUGGCUUCGCGCGGUGUCUGCGAGCGGGGGUGUGGGUGCGCACGUGCGGAAGAUCAACGAGCGAGGAGCUGCUGCUCGUGGGGGAGAAGAUGGUGACGAUCUCUGGCAGUGGUGGAAGUGGAACGAUUGUGGGAUGGCAAGAGCGGAGCAUGUGGCAUGGGAGUGGGCUGCGGCGCGUGCACCAGUGCGGAGCCGAACCGUGGAGGAAAAGAGGGAGGGAGUGGGACCCACUUGUCGGCACGCGUGGGGAUGGUUCUAAUCCUAUACAAUUUUGAUGUAAAAAUAUUAAGUACCAAGUAGGAUUGUGAAAAGACCAUUAGAUCCAUGACCCAUUACCACUCCUA